AGCAGCCGCGGUAAUUCCAGCUCCAAUAGCGUAUAUUAAAGUUGUUGCAGUUAAAAAGCUCGUAGUUGAAUUUCGGGAUCAAUAUGUUGGUCGUGCCUUGGUACGUACUAGUUUAUUGGUUUCUUCCUUCUGACGAACCAUGAUGUCAUUAAUUUGGUGUCUUGGGGAAUCAGGACUGUUACUUUGAAAAAAUUAGAGUGUUUAAAGCAGGCUCACGCUUGAAUACAUUAGCAUGGAAUAAUGAAAUAGGACGUUUGAUUCUAUUUUGUUGGUUUCUAGGAUCGACGUAAUGAUUAAUAGGGAUAGUUGGGGGCAUUAGUAUUCAAUUGUCAGAGGUGAAAUUCUUGGAUUUAUUGAAGACUAACCACUGCGAAAGCAUUUGCCAAGGAUGUUUUCAUUAAUCAAGAACGAAAGUUAGGGGAUCGAAGACGAUCAGAUACCGUCGUAGUC
rnacentral:rRNA from 1 species